UGUUUUUCAGCAUAAAGUACUCUGCAGCCACUUAGUGUGGUGUGGACACCAGGUUAUAUCAGCUGUGUCGGUGAACCCCUCCCGCAUCUGAACUGGCUACAUAGAGGUCACUUGGUCAGGUCAACAAGAAGUAUUGGAAGAAUACUCUUAAAAUAUAUGUUUUGAUGUGAGAGAAUGCCAACUCCCAGUCCCAUCAUCGCCACCUCACCCGCUC